GGCCCUGUACCGGCGGAGGAUUUCUAACCUUCUAGCCGUAAUGGAUCAUGCACGUUCGAAUCGUGUCAGGGUCACCA
rnacentral:tRNA from 1 species